rnacentral:lncRNA from 1 species
AACCCAACAUCCUAAAAACGAGGUUACACGAUUACCAUUUGAAUAGUAGCAUUUUGGAGAAAGCACUAAUAUGCACUUAAAUUAUGCACAGAUGCAUGUCAGGUUGUUCGCUUGGUCUGCGCCAACGAGCAUCUCCUACAAGUCAUCAUCUCUCUCUUUGUCGGCUCCAUGUUGUAGCCUGCUAGGAGUCCUACCUUGCCAUGGAGCAUGUCCUUUGUCAUGGGUCAUACUGAGGUGAGUGCUGGUGUGGGAUUUGAUGUGUUAGUAGAUUGGGACGUCGGCUUCUUGGUGUGGUUUGAUGAGAUGGUGGUGAUAUGGUCUGGAAGGGGGCAUGUGUGAGGCGAGAGAGAAUAACGGGCAGAGUCAUUCAUAUAUAAUACUAAAAUCCUACCCUUCAUAAAUUAGAUUUUUCGACGAUAAGUAAGUACCUAAGUCUAUGUUAUGUUUAAGUUAAAAGUAAAAUGUCUAUGUGGGCCAUACAUACACCGAUUAAUAAAGCAGUUAGUACUUAAAUUGACCGUCAAGUCCUAUGUGCCUUAGGGGUAAGUUUUAAUCUCCACCAUUGACUCACUUAAGGUGGGUAUACUGAAGCAGACCCCUUAUGAUUAUGAACGGUUUAUAAAGUUGAAGGAUGAAACUUGAACGAACACAAUUCUGAGGUUUGUAAAGUGAAGCCAAAGACAAGUUCGAGGGGUAAUAUGGACUUCUCUCAAACUAUAUUAUCAGAGGACAAUGAGGGUCUUGAAGACAAUGAAAGCGAUGAGUUUCUGCUGGUUCUGUUUUGUUGUAGGCGAAGUUCUUAAUUAUAAUUAUCAAUGUGUUUGUUUUUCUUAAGGACGCAGUGACAUGCAAGGCGAGGGAAAUUGAAGCCAAAACAUGCAGGACGGCCAGGAGUGUGCCAUUUUUUCUAUGACAGGUUAGUGAUUUUAUCCUUUUUGUAUUUUUUACAUUGCUAGGUACAGUAGUUUAUAUGAAAUGAUUUGUUAAUGGCAGGGGGUGGUUCUUCAAUCUUCAGGGAAUCAAGCGGUAGCAUCAGAUGCUGACAUGCAUGGAAGGUAGCAGUAUAUGUAUUUGUAGCAAAUCAUCAUCGCCCAUAAAUAAAUCAUCUCUUGCCCGCUUCCUCUGUCCGGUUGUCAACUCAAAUUGCUUUGGUUCACAAAUUCGUUUCAUCGUACAUCUAGGUACACUAGAACUGAGAGACUACUUUCCUUGAAAGGCUUAUGCGAGUAAACUGACAAUAGUAUUCAUCCAAGAUGCAGUUGUAUAUGUAUCUUCAUAGAGAUGUAGAUGCAUAGAUAGUUAAAUAGUGCACAUGUUCAUUGACAGGGAUGUAGAUGUAGUAUACAACCGAGGUUACAUUGACAAGUUGGUCCAUGAUGCUCCCAGGAAAAAGAAAAUAUGAUAUAUUGUUUCACACUAUCAUCCAUAGUGAAACUUGUAUUUAAUAUUUCUUUGUUUUGCAAUGCUGAAUAUUUUGGGAACACACAGUAAGAUGUAAUCUACGGAUUCACCAAAUCAGCUUGAACAUUGUUAUCAUGCUUCGUAUGAUUUGGUAAUGAUUUCAGAACAUGGAAUGGGGCAAAUAAAGUUGAAACCAUGUACUGUUCCUCACAAAAAAACAGUUACUGUCGAGAGGUUUCAUACUGACAUUAUUUCUUACCAACUAAUGGUGCAUUACUCCUGCCAUGAUAACAGCAGCUAACUACUCCAUGAUUACAGCAGUAAACAUUGAUAAGAGUACAAGCAUUGGAGGAGUACUCACCACAUUCGAGGAAGUCGUCAUCAUGGUGGUGGUGGUCGAGGAAGUCGUAGGUGCUGGUGGCAUCAUCACGGAGCAGGCACCAUCUUCUCCUCGACUUAAAAUGUGGUACUCCAUGUACUCCCACUUGUUAACUUUCUGAAAUGCAGAUCCACUCCAAGAAUGUGCUCUGAAAUG